rnacentral:rRNA from 1 species
UAUUUUGACUAUACAAAGGUAUUGUAAUAAGACUUUAAUUGAGUGCUAAGAGAAUGGACUUUCAAAAAAAUUCUUUUUUAAAUUUAAAAAUUAAAGUUAUUUUUAUUUGUGAAGAAACAAUAAUGAAAAUUAUGGACAAGAAGACCCUAUGAAUUUUAACUAAAUUAAACUAAAGCUUUAGUUUAAUUUAGUUUAAUUGGGGCGAUUAAAAAAAAUAAUAAACUUUUUAUAAAAUAAAAUGAUCCAUAAAUUAUGAUUAAAUGUAAUAAAUACUCUAGGGAUAACAGCGUAAUAAUUUUAGAUAGAUCUUAUAGAAAAAAUAGUUUGCGACCUCGAUGUUGGAUUAGGAUACUUUUUUAAUGAAGAAGUUAAAAUAAGAAGUUUGUUCAACUUUUAAAAUCC